UGCACGGUGGCGCAGUUGGUAGCACUGUUGCCUUGCAGCAUCAAGGUGCUGGGUUCGAUUCCCGGCCGGGGGUCUUUCUGCAU